GAUGAACGCUAGCGGCAGGCUUAACACAUGCAAGUCGAGGGGUAUUGUAGCAAUACAAGAGACCGGCGCACGGGUGCGUAACGCGUAUGCAACCUACCUUUUACAGGGGGAUAGCCCAGAGAAAUUUGGAUUAAUACCCCAUGGUGUAUUUGAGUGGCAUCACUUAAUUACUAAAGUUCCAACGGUAAAAGAUGGGCAUG
rnacentral:rRNA from 1 species